UAAAAAGUUAACCCUUUAUAGGUCACUCACUGAAAUACUCUGAAAAUCCAAAUUUCAUCCACAGUGUGUUAUAGGAACAUCAACAUCUACUUUCCUCAUCAGUUGCCGUGACAAGUCUCCCUCCUUUUCCCAUAAAACAUCCCAGCAGCACUUGCUAAAAAGUAAACACAUGCAAUAAAACAACAGGUCAAAGGUCAU